rnacentral:lncRNA from 1 species
GUAACAGCUGCUCGGCAGCGCAUGAAGUUCCCGGGCCAGGGUUUGAAGAUGAGACAACGCCGGAUCCUUUAACCCACUGCACCCGGCCAGGGAUUGAACCUGCACCUCGGCAGCGACGACCGGAGCCGCCAGCAUCAGGCUCUCUCAGUCCCCUGCACCGCGGCAGGAAGUCGUCUUGCAGUUUUCUUCACCAGGGGAAACCAGGCUUGACUCAAGAGACACUUCUGACAGAGCACAGCGGCCAAGCCGACACGACAACGUUUCCUGUCACGGACCUCAAGCAGCAGAGCGGGAUGCAAGGUUCGUGGCCAUGAACCCACUUUGACUUAGGUAGACCAGCGGGCCGGGUUGUCUCCUGAAUAUGAAGGUGAAAACGACCCGGCCUGGAAACCAUAAACAUACCUCAGAGGUGCAGCAAGUUCAAAGACACUGCUGAAAUGCAGAUCUCAGAAAAAAGGGGCUCAGGCUUUCGCAGGACGAUUUCAUAAAGUGAGGGACAAAGAGCUUCACUAAAUGAAAAGUCGCCAAUUCAAUGGGGCUAGAGGUUGCACACAAACGGCCUCAGUUCUCCCGAGUUAGGGCCGGUUUAAAGCUGUCGUUCUAGGAAGCACUGAAAUCCACUGUGAAUAGCACCUAUUGUGCUAUAACACGCAUAAAUCGUUUUUAUUUGCAUGAGAAGGGCGCCAAUGACCUCGCACCACAAGAUGUAAUUAAGAAGUAAUUGUAGUAUCUCGGUUAGCCUUAGAUAAAUGCUGGAUUACUGCAAGCAGAAAAGUUGUGAUUUUAACCAGAGAGAGGCAUUUCACUGCUGAGUAUAAAGUCUACCUGGGUCCUUUCCAUGAUAAGGACAGAGCAAGCUGACUAGUAAUUAUAUUCCAUGAUAAAAACAAAAGUCACUGUUCAAUUUCUAAGGCACCAGAAAGAGUUUGGAAUGAAAGAGCUUCACAGAGACAGAACCAAAGAUUCAAGCUACUGGUCAGAGGGCAACUAACUCAGAAAUGCCUGGGAUCAUGUUUCUCUCAAUGAAGCAAAAGCAGGGUUCAUUCCUUUGGGAACUAGUUGAGCGCAUAUUAUGCACUAAGGAUGGCUGGGCAGGAGGUGAGGCUGGCGCUGGGACAGGGAGAGAUGUGGCGAGAAAGGUUUAAGCGGUGAGGAUUUAGAGCAAUCACAGGCACUGAGACGUGCGGGAAAGGUGACCUGGGACCGCUGGAAGACGUGAGGGCCACUUGUAGCUCCACACCAAACAUCUGUGGAGUUCCCAACAGGAGGCAUUCAACGGUUGUUGAAGUGACAAGGGAUGCUGGGCUGUGAGCCCUGGGCUCUGGCCGUAGCUCUGUCACAACUGGACGGCCUUGCCAAGGCCCGUAUCCUCCGGAGGGGUCUUAAAAGUGUUCUUUUCGUUGAUGAAACAAAAAGACUUCAGAGCAUGCCUCCUACAGGACAUCUCUCCUUUUGUGACACAGUUAGUCACACGAGUCAUACGUACAGCUCACACUACUCCAUCCUGUUUACAAGGAAGGUGUGAAAAGUACAGGACAGCAGGUCCCUGGCUGGGUACGGUACCUGUACUGGUUUUAAAUACAUGCUCAGCAAAGAUCAGUUUUGCAUGUCUUAUCCUAGGGGAAGUAAACAGAAUGGCAAAGGACAAAUAGGGGCCACGUUUUGUUUUGUUUUGUUAACUCUUAUAAUGUAUCGUCUAGUAUCCAGAUAAACAGUCUUUAACAGGAGUCCCUGGAUAGGCUUUUGGGGAGGGUUCAUAAACACCCUGAAAUUACAUGCACUGGUUUCCUACCUGAAUGCAUGCACAAACUUUGUUUGCAUUUUCAAGUAUAGCAAUAAAUCUCUCUCUGAAAAAAGAAAAAAAAAAAAAAAAAGAAGGGGGUUAAGAACCGCUGCUCUAAGAAUGUUCCUCUUCCGGGAGUUCCCUGGUCGCUUAGAAGUUAAGGACUCCGCAUUGUCACUGCUGUGACUCUGGUCUCUGGUCCCAUCCCUGGCUGGGAACUUCCGAAUGCAGCAGGUGCUCCCCCAAAAAGGGAAUGUUCUUUUUUUAAAGCAACUUUCCUAAAGUAAUCAUGGGUCUAAUUCUCAUUGUGUCUAUUAACCACUAGGCAAGGAGUUAAAACUGAAUUGCUUUGUACAGCUUAACCCACCACUGUACCGUUUGAAAUACUACACCGUGGUAUUUGAGAUGCUGAACAGCUCAAACAAAAUCGCAUCGAUACAACUCUGGAACCGUACACACGAAUUAGUCCCACAAUUUAAAAACGCGUUUGCAGAAGUUCCCGUUUAGGCUUAGAGGAAACAAAUCUGACUAGCAGCCAGGAGGACACAGGUUCAGUCCCGGCCUUGCUCAGUAGGUUAAGGAUCCGGCGUUGCCGUGAGCUGCGGUGUAGGUCGCAGACGCGGCUCUAACCCCGCUUUGCUGUGGCUGUGGGGGUAGGUCAGCAGCUGCAGCUCCGAAUCCCCCCCAGCCUGGGAACCUCCCUAUGGCGCAGGUGCGGCCCUAAAAAAAUUUCGUCUUCAUUGACCCCCAUUAGGUGUCACUUCGCCUCUAUGACACCCACCGCGGAAAACAAGCACAAGUUGGCCGCAGAACGGCGACGAACGGGGUCACAUUCUUCUCGGCCACGCCCGUCCCUCCCGGCUCUGCGAUCCCAGGCCUUCCGAGCAUCCGCAGCGGGCGGGCACGUUGCCGGCCACCGGGCAAGGCCACCCGGGGAGCUCUCGCAGACGGACGGCGGCGCCGAGCUCCCGUCGUGCCUCUACCGGCGUCCACUCACGCCUUCGGGAGUCAUGGCCUGUCUCUUGUCAGCCUUCCAUCACGAGCCCCGGCCACGAUGCCUGCCUGACCCCACUCUCCCCGGCGCCUUGCAGAUGUCAGCCGCGCCCAGCCACGGCAGCAACCCGCGCCCAACGCCUCAAACGCCGGCGACGGGCGACACGUGACCAACGCCCGCAAACCCCGGCCGCCGCUGCCGGCUUCCCGCGAGGCCGGC